rnacentral:misc_RNA from 1 species
AUUGACUUGUUUGGUUGAGAGUAAAUGUCCUCUUCCUAGGAAGUGAAAGGCCUUUUUUUCUCAAUUCCCAGGAAUUAAGUUACUUGCCCUAACCUAUGUAACUUACUUCUUGGGAAGUAGAGUUCCCGUGAAGUGGUUUAGAGUGGUGGACCACUAAUAGGAAGUACUGCAUUUUUAGGUGCAAAUUGCAGAAUUUACCUUAUCAUAACAUUGGAAUUCUCCAAUUCCAGGA